CAGCAGGUUGGGAGCCGGUUGCUGUCCUACUGGUGGCUUGAAGUCUGAGAUAGUCAGAGUGUUUACACCACAGAAGUCAGGAGACGCUACAAGUCAGGGGAUUUGUGGGUUUUCUCCUUUCAGAUUUCUGGUUUACUAGCACACCACUGCUUGGUACUGUCAAAUUUCUUUAUUUCUCAAAUUAAAUUAGAAAGGGUGGUCCUGGAAUCACCUCCAUUGACUAUGUUCACAAUGGUGCCUUGUUAACAUGCAGAUUCUCAGGCGCAGAAUCUCCAGGGGAGGCCUGGGCCUCUGAGUUUUGAUCGUGAUGUUGAUGGUGAUGAGUUUUAUGCACAUUCACAUUGAGAGCCGCUGGACCAGCCUUUCAGGCACCUGGAGUCCAGGGACUCGGAGACCUGGGGGACCCUUGGUCAUUGUCCUUCACUUCCCUCUUUAAGGCCCCCCCCACCAGGGAAGUUCACUGUCCCCUCCACUUCCCUGUCCUGGUCAACACAGUGCUUCUGCUUUGACAGUUAACAAAGAGCCCGUUUACUGAUUUUUUCCAGGGACGGCCGCAGUGGCCUGGUGACUUGCGAUGGGAAGUCUGGAACACAGAUGGCUGACUGCUUGCUGUGUGGGUAGUGGUGACACCUUCAGUUGUGAACCACUCCCAGGGAGACAGACGUCUCAAACACGUGUGUGUGCAGGGGUCCUCCACCUACUCGCUGCUCAGAGCAACGCAUCCCCAGGGUCUUACGAACCCAGAAUACGGGCCCAGACCUCUACUCUUUUAUCCUGACCAGCACCUCUCACACUGGAGCCCAGGAAACCCCUGGACAUCUUGUGAAGAGGUAAUGGUUGCCUCUCUCGAAGUUGAUGCUUCCUGAGGAAAGUCUGAAAAUUUCUCAGCUUUAGACAUGGCCGUUGAUCUGUUGAGGUUUCCCAGGUCUUCUGGAAUGAAUCAUCCAGUCCAUGACUCCCACCGGGAGCGCUGCCGUCUCUGGCUGGAGUCUGAGGCACCGUCAUGAAAGGAGGAGUUCACCGACCCCUUGGCUCCACUCUAUGACAUUUCUGGAUUCCGAUCAUCCGAAACUUCGCCCCAACAGCGAAGGUUUAAGGCAGGGAGAAGCCCUCCAGGGCGUGAGGUCCCCACAUCCACCUGCAGUCCUCCAGCGUCCUGCAGCCGGCACAGGGAGGAUGAGCGGCAUGUAGGCACCGUUAAUGGGAAAUGAGACAGGGAACCUGCAUGUCUCCUGAUCUGACCUGGGAGGCAGGCGUGAGGGUCUGGAAACCUACCCUAUGUUGCCCAGGACCCCUGGGAAUUUUCUGUGCCCCAGGGCUUAGGUGCCCAGGGGAAAAUCACAUCUCUGGCUUGUUUCCAAAUUAACGUUGAGUCCACGUUUCCCUCCGGGCAGUGACUGUCCCAACACCUACACAGGACCCAGCCAACAUUCAAGAACUCUGCGCUGAGUUGAUAUGUGUCAAACAGGUUGCACUUGCUAAGAAGCCCCACACGGCCGUGGGCAGAGGUCUGGGCUUGGGGCCGAAGUCGCCUCAGCCCUUGGGAAGAAAGGGAGACGUGCCCUAGCUGGCAAGACAAGCUCUGAGCCCACAAACAGAACCUCUGGUCUCCAGGCCGCAGGUCCCCCUGGGGAGACCAGGUGACAUCCCCCUCCUCCCGGAAAGCUGCCCACAGGUCAGUGCCCUGGAAACCCUCUUACCACCAGCAGCAGGCUCCAAGCCUAAGCUGAACUUUUCUAGC